UUGUAUGUAGCUCAGUGGUAGGGUGUGUGCUUAACAUGUACAGGAUGCUGGGUUCAAUCCCAGCAUAAACA
rnacentral:tRNA from 1 species